rnacentral:rRNA from 1 species
AUUGAACGCUGGCGGCAGGCCUAACACAUGCAGGUCGAGCGGAUGAAGGGAGCUUGCUCCUGGAUUCAGCGGCGGACGGGUGAGUAAUGCCUAGGAAUCUGCCUGGUGGUGGGGGAUAACGUCCGGAAACGGGCGCUAAUACCGCAUACGUCCUGAGGGAGAAAGUGGGGGAUCUUCGGACCUCACGCUAUCAGAUGAGCCUAGGUCGGAUUAGCUAGUUGGUGGGGUAAAGGCCUACCAAGGCGACGAUCCGUAACUGGUCUGAGAGGAUGAUCAGUCACACUGGAACUGAGACACGGUCCAGACUCCUACGGGAGGCAGCAGUGGGGAAUAUUGGACAAUGGGCGAAAGCCUGAUCCAGCCAUGCCGCGUGUGUGAAGAAGGUCUUCGGAUUGUAAAGCACUUUAAGUUGGGAGGAAGGGCAGUAAGUUAAUACCUUGCUGUUUUGACGUUACCAACAGAAUAAGCACCGGCUAACUUCGUG